UACGUAGGGUGCAAGCGUUAAUCGGAAUUACUGGGCGUAAAGCGUGCGCAGGCGGUUUUGUAAGUCUGUCGUGAAAUCCCCGGGCUCAACCUGGGAGCGGCAUUCGAUACUGGCAAACUGGAGUACGAGAGAGGGGGGUGGAAUUCCAGGUGUAGCGGUGAAAUGCGUAGAUAUCUGGAGGAACACCGGUGGCGAAGGCGGCUCACUGGCCCGAUACUGACGCUGAGGCACGAAAGCGUGGGGAGCAAACAGGAUUAGAAACCCGUGUAGU
rnacentral:rRNA from 1 species